UACAGAGGUCUCAAGCGUUGUUCGGAUUCAUUGGGCGUAAAGGGUGCGUAGGUGGCGCGCUAAGUCAGGUGUGAAAUUUCGGAGCUUAACUCCGAAACUGCAUUUGAUACUGGCGUGCUUGAGGACUGGAGAGGAGACUGGAAUUCACGGUGUAGCAGUGAAAUGCGUAGAUAUCGUGAGGAAGACCAGUGGCGAAGGCGGGUCUCUGGACAGUUCCUGACGCUGAGGCACGA
rnacentral:rRNA from 1 species